UGAGUAUUUAUUUCUGUUAUUUUAUUUAUUUCAGAAAACUACCUCAAGUACACUACUAUGUGUAUGUGGUCACCCUUGUGCAAUAAACGACUAAAUUCUAUCUGAUGACUCCAACUCCUUGACCAGAGUUCUACAGCGGUCAAUAACAUAUACACCAGCUUUCAGUGGGGCAAUCCCCAACAGAAGUAGUUUCACUUCCCUCUCUAUUAACACUCUCUCUUUCUCUCAGAGGAAGUGGGCAUCUCUGUUACAUUUAGCAGUUUAUUUUAAAGACGCUUGCAGUAAUUUUAAAGUGGACAUUUAAUAAGAGAGAAGGAUGAGGAUCAUCUUGACUUUCACUCUGCUGACGAUUCCUGGUGUCGUGAGCUCCAUGAAUGUGACAGGAUAUUCAGGAGGAGGAGUCAGGAUCACAUGCAAAUAUGAGACAAAAAAUACGGCAAACUCUUUUUGUCGAGGUGAUCAGAGGUCCACAUGCUCUGACCUCAUCGAGACUGAGACUAAAGAUAAAUGGUUUAAUUCUGGAAGAUUCUCUCUGUAUGACAACACAAGUUCAGCAGUCUUGAAAGUGACCAUCAGAAAUCUGAGUGAAGAGGAUUCUGGGACGUACUACUGUAGAGCAAAAGAUUCCUACACUGAAGUGAAUCUGAAGGUUAUAACAGAUCAACAAAACAGGAGUGUGAGAGGAUAUUCAGGAGGAAACGUCAUUAUAAACUUCAAAUAUAAGAUGAAACACAAGAACAAUGUGAAAAUCUGCAGAUCUCUUACGUGUGUUUAUCAGAGAGCUGAAUGUGAACGACUCUGGAGAAUAUAAGAUUACAGUCAAAGUUUCUGAAGACUACAGUGUCUUCUCUCAGUUUAAUCUGGACAUCAGAGACGAUGAUUGUUGUGUGAAGAGCAUCAGUCUAUCAGCUGCUGCAGGAGCAUCUGUGAACAUCAGCUGCAAAUACCCACAAUCCCAUAAAAGAGAUGUGAAGUUUCUCUGCUGGAGAUCUGGAGAUAAUCUCUGUGCUGAAGAGACGUCUGUGAAGGACAGCAGAAGAUGGAGUCCUGAGGGAAAGAUCCAGCUGUAUGAUGACAGAGAAAAGCAGCUCCUGACGGGAAGAAUCAGUCAUGUGACUGAACAACAUUCAGAAUACUGGUGUGGAGUUCAGUCUGAUCAAAGACACAAGAGCUUCAUCACACGAGUCCUGAUCAACCCUACAGAAACAUCAUCAUCAUCAUCAUCAUCAUCAUCAUCACCACCAUCAUCCGCUUCUUCUUUUUCAUCAGUCAAAACUUCACCAAGCACAGGCGUUUCCAGAACUUCUACAUCACUGGCGUCUCCAAACACAUCAGCAGGCUCUUCUCUGAUCAUCCCUCUGGUUUUGUUUUUUCUGGCUCUGAUCACAGCUGGACUCUUAUUACUGUUUUUCUGUAAGAAGCGUCAGUCUCAAGGCGGUGAUUCGUCAUCUCAGACUGGACCAGGAAAACAUGAAGUGGUUUCUCACACUGGUUGUGAUUAUGAGGAGAUUAAAGACACUCACAAACAGUUACCCACAAACCCCUCUGAUUCUUCUAACUGCGUUUACGCUACAGUUCAGAAAGCCACUGGUGACUCUCAGUGCUGCAUCACAUCUGCUGAGGAUCUGAAUUACGCAGUGGUGAAUUUCCACAAGAAAUCUGACUGUCCUGACAGUGUCAGUAUCAGGAAUAAUCAGGAUUACAGUGAAUACACUGCUGUCAAUUAUCUCACUGCUUGACGAACAACAGCAGAUAAUAUAAAUGAGCUGAAUGUUUUAUCACCUUGUCUUUGGCAUUAAGUUUGUGUGUUUGGUGUUUUUUGUUAGUCUUCAGUGAUGCUCCUUUUCCUUAUAUUUUAGUCAGUCUUGUGAAUCAGACUUUUGACUGUUGGCAUGAAGUCUGAUGAAUGUUUAAAUGACAGCGCAGUGUUUUGUUCUGCAGAUGACAAUGAAAUAUUUCAGAAUAUUUCAGACAAAAUUGAGCAGAAUAUACAGCUGUGCUCAAUUUUAUAAAGCUAACAAACUUUAGCACAUGCAGCAACUGUUGUUUUUUUUCCCAGUUCUCAUUUUAACAGAUAACUUAACCUGAUAACUUAAAAAAAAAUCCAGAUGAGGUUGUGAUAUUGUUUUCAAAUGUGAUAUGCAUGAAUUAUGGAAAGCUGAAAUGCACAUAAAAGCACAAUGUCUGAGCUUUAUGAGUGUCCGUUGUGAAGCCUGAGGGCUUUUUAGCUUUUGAUCUAAAAAUGUUUAUUUCAGAAAAUGGACUCCCCACUGAUGUAAUUGUAAUGUAACGGAGACUCGUUCGAGCUCAGCUUGAGAUCCAUAUGUGGCAGGAUAAGUGAUUUAUCUUAUUGGCCUGUUUGGGGUAUGGUUUUGGGCAGACCAAUGAGGUAGAAGCAGCCAUACUAUUUAAGGACCCUUAUUUUGGCGAGUGUGUACGUGUCCUGCUGGUUCUGGGUUCUCCUCUCCCAUUUCCAUUCCUGUUUUUGUUUGUGUUCAGGUAUGUUGAGACUCUGCUGAUGGUGUAAUGAUGUGUUCAGCUCGAGGCUAAUAUGCAGGGGCGCCGUUAGGUGGGGUGAAGAGUACGCCAGGCAUAUGGGCCCCGGACGCUAGGGGGCCCUAAAUCACGACUUUGGAUUUUUUUCUUUGUGUGUGUGUGAUUUUUUUUUUUCUUCUUACAUGCACAAAAACGUUAACCAAUAAUAUUGUAGUAAAAUAAAAUUUAAAUCUGUGAAUUAUAGAAAGAAGUGAACGUGAGCGUGCUCUCUUGUCACUUUAAAAUACAGCGCAUGACGUGUUAACCGCAUAAAAAAGAAUAGGAUAGAUGGAAAGAACGUUCCCAGAACAUUCACUAACGUUCUUUAAAAUUUGUGUAAAGGUUAGUACAAAUUGUUAUAAGAACGUUCCAAAAACAUUAUUUUAAUAACGUCAUUAACUUUCUUGUAACAUUUAGAGAAAACGUUCUUAGAACAUCUUUAGGACGUUAUUUGUACUUGAUGAACGUUCGCAUAAUGUGAAUAGAAAACGUUCUUAGAACAACAUACUCAGAACGUCCUUAUAAUGUUAUUAGUAUUUUCUGAAUGUUUUCAUAAUGUUAUAAUAAAACGUUCUGGGAACAUGUUCUUGGAACAUCUUUAGGACGUUAUUUGUACUUGAUGAACGUUCUCAUAAUGUUGAUAGAAAACGUUCUUAGAACAACAUACUCAGAACGUUCAUAUAAUGUUAUUAGUAUUUAUGUUUUCAUAUCACGCACGGACAUUUCAGGCCUCGCAUUUUGAGCUGAAUCACGAGACUCAAUUCCUGACGCCACUGAAUCGAAUCUUUUUGGAAUCGUUUACUGUCUUGACUCUCGAGUCUGUUCUUUCCCCUCACUGCAGCUCUUGCGCGCGCAGCCGCAGAGAGCGUCCGUUAUUUUCUGAGGCUGAGAAAACGUAAAUGGUAAGCGUGAAUUCGUAAUACUAUUUUAAAUAACAUAUAUGCCAGAACAUAACAUCAGAAUUUCAAUGUUGUAUGUUUUUUUUUUUUCUUUCUUUUUCCAAACUGUUUAUUUUUUAACCUGGCGUUGCUAGACGUUCGUUCCCGUUCCUACUGAAGGCCAAAAGGGCCAAAAACACGUGAAUUUUAACACGUCAACAACACGUUAAAUACGUGUAUUUCAUGCGUGAAAUACGCGUUAAAAAUCUGUUUGAACGGGUCAGUGUCAUUGGCUGCUGAAAACUUGGGUCAAACCAUUUCUGUGAGCUUAAGGGGGUGUACCAUUCAUUUACUAGGAUUCCACCAUUUAACAUGCUAGAUCAGCUUAUUCAGCCCUUUUGUUUUGUCUUUUUUUUUGUAUAACCUAUAGUAAUAUUAUAUUUAAAUUGCCGUUUUAUGAAAAAAUAGAUUUAAUUUUUCCACUUAUUUUUUUAUUUUUUAUUUUAUUCUUUUUUACAACGCCCUUACCCUUACUGACAAUAAAAUGCGGCAUUAUAAUCUCACUGAAUCCGAGUAUGCUCUCUCUCAGCCAUAUGACCUGCAAAGUUUUUUCUCUGGUGUGUGUUGGGGUGGGACACUAGCUGAAGAAGAUUGGGGUGUGACUAGAGAUGAUAGACCUGCACAGUUUUGUUCUAAAGAAAUAGUGCAGGUUAGUCGUACACAAAUAAAAAUUUAAACUGAUAAUAAUGUACGAUACUCCCUCUGUGUUUGUGUCAGAACAUGGGAGCGGAGCGCAAGAUCAAACCCUUGUGACAUACUGGAUCGAAAAUAUGUGAAAUAAGUUUUUUCUAGUCGACUAGUAGUAGUUCAUUUAAGCCAUUAGUUGACUAAUCAUAUUUAUAUUAAUUUAUUUUCUUAAAUACUGGAGAGAAUAAACAAUAAUAAUGAGCGUUUACGUAAUAUCUAUAUAGCAAGCGCACGCAUAAAGCUUGCCAUAAAGAACCGGCAAAAGUUAUGAUUAUGAAUGUGACAAAAAACAGCAAGGAGACAUUUUAAUUGUGUAUUAAUAAACUAAUGUUUUCUGAAUCAGUGUCGGCUGCAAAGAUGUUGCCAUUACUGCCUCUCAUCAUCUCCGUAGAGAUGCACAUUUCAUUCGGAUUAGGAGAGUAGCCUAUUUCUUUUCGUUUUGAAUUAUUUCGUUUAAAAGUAGACUUUUCACGCUUUCUAUAGAUAUAUUGCUCAUGUCUGUGAGGCAAGCAGCCUGAGUUUCGGUUCAUUUAGCCUACAAGACUCGCUCCAGUUCACGCGCCAGUGAUCGCGCCCGCGCCUCCAUGUCAGGAUUAUUUUGUCAGCUAUAUUUGCUUCUUAUUUAUUAAAUACAGGCAAUUGGUUGAAACAUUGAUUAAAAUUAAGAUACAAUUUUUACAAAACGAAAUGCACUUUAAAGAAAUGAUUUCUACAAAACAAAACUUAAUGAAGUGGUCAAAAUCAUGUCUGACCCACUCAAUGUCUCCAGAUAUAUUGCGCAUCUUAUGAUAUUUUGGUCUUAGUCAUGCAGUUCACUUUUUAUAAUCAAAUAGAUGAAAAUAAAAAAUAACAUUAUAACACAUUUUGAGCACUUUUAACUUGGCAAAAGGGCAAUGCACACAGCCAUUCAUGUCGUCACGGAGAAAAUGUGACUUUCGUAGAGCAGUAUAUAUCACGACCUCAUGUCCGCUUUUAAGCAUUCUCCGUGACGACAGAUUUUUAACGCGUAUUUCACGCGUAUUUAACACAUAUUUUACGCGUGAAAUACAUGUCAAAUACACGUAUUUAACGCGUUGAUUUUUCACGCGUAUUCCACACGUAUUUAACGUGUUAAAAUUCACGUGUUUUUGGCCCUUUUGGCCUUCCAUACGCUCCUGCUCUAUUCAAAUCUUGCGCGCGCUGACAGGGUCCGGUAUUUUCAUCAUAGAGAGAUUUACAUCAUAAGAAGGUAAGUGUGAAUUCACAAAAUAAUUGUAAAUAACAUGUUUAUAUAACACAACAUCAAAAGUUUUUCAGUGUUAAAUCAUUUUUUUGUGAACCGCAUUUUCUAGACCGCUGUCUUUCAGUUAUUGCGUGCGCUGACAGCGUCCUGUAUUUUCAGAGGUUUAUAUCAGACGAAGCGAUAAGUGCAAAUUCAUAAAACAAUUUUAAAUAGAGUUGUUACCAAAACAUAAGAUUACGCGUUGUUGAUAUAAAUUGAGUGUGUGUAUGUUGUGCUAACUGGUACUUAGCAACUGCCACACACAUUUAUAAGAAGUUAGCUAUUAGUAAAAUAUUAACGUUUAUUAAUUAAUGCUAGUCUAGCUAGUGUGCUUGAGUUGCUAUCUUAUUUCUCUCUUUGACAAAUCAGCAAACACUUUCUUCUCAACUGUCCACAGAUGCUUCAAAUACAGCACUGAAGGAAGAGCUGCAGCUGACUUGAUUCUUGUGAGGCAGACAAGGACAGAAAAGGCCAGGUGGUAAAUGCUGCUAUUCUUCUCUAAUACUGUUGCUCUUGAAAGAACACAGUCAUCAGUCAGGAUCCUCCAUUCCCAGCUCCAACCACUCAUCUGAAGAACUGCGGCGAUGGGAACCCUUUGAACCACAAGUGGCAGUUUCCACCGGAUGAGAAAGGACAUGACGGAGCAUGAAGAGACUGGACCUGCUAGUUUGGCAGACCCCACCCCACCACACACACACACACACACACACACACACAUUCUUACUGAUUAAGCUUAAUUUAUAUAUGAAUGAGUUUUUUUUUAAGUGUGCAGUUAUAUAAUUACCUUUUGUAAUUCACGUUGUGUUCUUGGAAUGUUUGUACCUUGUGUUAAUCAAAAAAAUAACGUUGAAAGAAUGGUUCAGGGACAUUAUUCUAACCUUAACAUAACAUUUUAACAUUAAAGAAAGUGGACAUUUUAACGUUCUUAGAACAUUACAAAUCAACGUUCUUUGACUGUUUUGUUGUUAAUGAAAUGUAGGUGGAAAUUACAUUGCAGGAACGUUUUGCUAACAUUAAAAAACCUGGAUAUUUUAACGUUCUUUGAACGUUACAAAUCAACGUUCUCGGAACAUUGUAUUGAUGGUAAAAUUUAGAUGGAAAGAACGUUGCAGGAACGUUAUGCUAACCUUAAGAUAACGUUUCAGCAACGUUAAGCAAACUGGACAUUUCCAAGUUUUUAGAACAUUUCAACAUUUACGUGUCGAAAGACCUAAUUCAAGUAGUGCAGGCGGUCUUCUGUGUGGGUGCAAAACCGCAAUUGAAAAACGUAGCUUUAUUCUUCAGAGAAACCUUGAAUCACUAUUCCUGAAUUUGUUUGUGUUGGCUGGGGAUAUCUCUGUAUUCUAUGGGCUCUAUAUAUUAGCCACCAGGGUGAGUUUUUUGAGGCAACCGUUAUUUAUUUAGAACAUUAUUGGAAUGUAUUUAAUUCCUUGGCGACGCUGAUGCACAGGCUAUUUAAGGCUAUUUGUAGGGUAUUGGCUAUGACUAACUUAGCUGGCAAAUGCUAGCCCCCCUCCCUCUCUCUCCGCCGCCGGUCCGGUCUCAGGCCUCAAAUGCAUAAAAUAUGAGCCUUUAAUAGACAUACUAGUGUUUCUUCCGUAAAGACAACGUUGUACUUAUUCAAACAACAAGAUAUUUAUUUGCCGUUGCAAGACGUUCAGCUGCUCUGCUGUGGAACUUCAGUUCGCUGCACUGAGGGGGCGGAGUUAAGAGGUUUGACUGACAGUUUGAGCGGAUCCAAAAAGAUUUUGUCACAAGCUCUUUUUAAUACCUUUAAUUGGCUAAAUAUAUUUGUAAAUCAGACAGACAGACGUAAAGGGUGACCAAUAGCAUUGAUUUAUUGAAGAAAAUAAAUAAAUAAAACAAAACUCCUCCAAAAAAAAGGGCACUUCGGAGUGUAAGGACAAAAAGGGCAUGUGCUCUGCACAGGUUGAGCCCUACCUGUGCACGUGCCUGCUGAUAUGAAUAAAAUUAUAAUUUUAGUCAAAUUAUAAUUAAAAGGAUACCUAUGCAGCUUCCAUGGAAUGUCGUGGAAUGUCUGAGCGGAGUGAACAGUUUUCCAACAAACGGCAACAAACUCUGAAGUAAUCUGACCUGGCCAGGAACCGUUGCUAUGAGGAUAAGGCAAGUCCCCUACAAAAACAGCUGUUUGAUCGCGCCCGCGCCUCACGCACACACAACAAAGCACUUUAAACGUGACAUCUCAGCUUGUUCAUUAUAAAAAAUAAAAUACAGUUAAAAAAAAAAACAUAUAAAAGGUACAAUAGUCCGUAGUGCAAUCCGUGCCAUUCAGCAAUAGCACUGCUCCACUUCACCGAAAGAGAGAGGUAUAACCACCAUGAGAGCAACGCAGGUUUACCUUCAGUUACCUUUCAAAUAAAUUCGUUUUGGCUUGUUUAACUACAUGGUUGUUGUCAUAUAUUAGAAUGAUGGUCUGUAUCUUUAAGAUCUAAGUGCACUAUGCAUUAUGUGACCGGAUGUUAAGUUUAUGAGGUGCGCAUAAGGAAGUAAAUGUUGCCAUCCAGAAAACUGUCAAGUGUGUGACUGAUUUAAUUCAGUAGAGCGUAUGAGAGACAUCUGAGUGCACUAAGAACAGAUAUACAACAUUGGCGACGAGGAUGCAGCCUGGAUGUUAGCACUGAUUGCACGCGAUGGAAAAGUCAGGUAUUCCUGCGUUUGAGUGUUACAAAGAUCCCGCGACUCUUGGUUCAAGGUGGAAAAUGGAAAUUGAAUACUUCCAUACUAUGUAGUGUGUGGAAACAGUGCACCAAGAGUAUGUCAGAAUACAUAAGAGUGCUUCUCAUUUCUUAUUUGUGCAUCCUCACUUCCUUCCCUCGCUCCUCAGCUCCGCCCCUCUCAGGAUGUGAGAGAAAGAUGCAAGGAAAGAAAAUGAGGACGGAGGAAUCGAAGGAAAUCUCAUUUGUAUACUGGAAUAUUCUUGAUCACUCGAGCGUCACUUCAGCUGCGCUCAAGCGAUCUGCUCUUAUGUUGUUGAAGUUUGAUUAUUUGAGAAAUGCGUAAUAAAUAUUAAUAAAUCAAGAUGCUGUUGA